CCUACGUGAGGCAGCAGUGGGGGAUGUUGCACAAUGGGGGGAACCCUGCUGCAGCGACGCCGCGUGGGUGAAGGAGUGCUUCGGCAUGUAAAGCCCUAUCGGCAGGGCAGAAGCAAGACGGUACCUGACUACGACGCCCCGGCUCACUACGUGCCAGCAGCCGCGGUAAUGCGUAGGGGGCGAGCGUUAUCCGGAUGCACUGGGUGUAAAGGGAGCGUAGACGGCCAUGCAAGCCAGGGGUGAAAGCCCGGGGCCCAACCCCGGGACUGCCCUUGGAACUGCAUGGCUGGAGGGCGGGAGGGGCAGGCGGAAUUCCUGGUGUAGCGGUGAAAUGCGUAGAUAUCAGGAGGAACACCGGCGGCGAAGGCGGCCUGCUGGACCGCGACUGACGUUGAGGCUCGAAAGAGUGGGGAGCGAACAGGAUUAGAGACCCCUGUAGUC
rnacentral:rRNA from 1 species